CCGACCUUAGCUCAGUUGGUAGAGCGGAGGACUGUAGUGUGCAACAGCUAUCCUUAGGUCGCUGGUUCGAAUCCGGCAGGUCGGA
rnacentral:tRNA from 1 species